AGAGUUUGAUUAUGGCUCAGAGCGAACGUUAGCGGCAGGCCUAACACAUGCAAGUCGAGCGAGAAAGGGGCUUCGGCCCUGAGUAAAGCGGCGGACGGGUGAGUAACACGUGGGUAAUGUGCCCUUCAGCGGGGGACAACAGUCCGAAAGGAUUGCUAAUACCGCAUACGUCGGUUGGUGCUUCGGUACCAGCCGGGAAAGGUGGCCUCUUCAUGAAAGCUACCACUGAAGGAGCAGCCCGCGUCCCAUCAGCUAGUUGGCGGGGUAAUGGCCCACCAAGGCUAAGACGGGUAGCUGGUCUGAGAGGAUGAUCAGCCACACUGGAACUGAGACACGGUCCAGACUCCUACGGGAGGCAGCAGUGGGGAAUAUUGGGCAAUGGGCGCAAGCCUGACCCAGCCAUGCCGCGUGAGUGAUGAAGGUUUUCGGAUCGUAAAGCUCUGUGGGGAGGGAAGAAACAGUAUGGUGCUAACAUCACCGGACCUUGACGGUACCUCCUUAGCAAGCACCGGCUAACUCCGUGCCAGCAGCCGCGGUAAUACGGAGGGUGCAAACGUUGCUCGGAAUCAUUGGGCGUAAAGCGCACGUAGGCGGUCUGGUAAGUCGGAUGUGAAAUCCCUCGGCUCAACCGAGGAAGUGCAUUCGAAACUGCCAGACUUGAAUAUGGAAGAGGGUCGCGGAAUUCCCGGUGUAGAGGUGAAAUUCGUAGAUAUCGGGAGGAACACCAGUGGCGNNNNCNGCGACCUGGGCCAAUAUUGACGCUG
rnacentral:rRNA from 1 species